UGGCCGGAGGAAUAGCUAAGAAGCGAAGUCCCGAUGGUCGCAUUGCGACGUCAUAAGGGUGCGGCAGUGCUGCAGGAUGCACGUGUGUUCUGCCAGUCCAGGAAGUCAGUGAGAGCUGCCCGCUGCAGGGCUGGGUGAUGGGAGGCGGCUGACAGUGGCCACUGUGAUAGUGCGCUCCCUGUGCAGCCACGGGGGACCUGCUAACAAUGAAUGGCAGGCUGCAUUGCCCAUAGACUGUAACGGGCAGUCUGGGAGACACCGCAGACACUCCGCCAAUCUCACAUAUCGGGAAUCCUUGCUUCACGUUUACCGAUAUCCUCCAACCAAAUAAAUACCUAUUCUGACAGGAGGCAACGAACAGACCUAAACAAUAGAAAGCUUCAUUAACAUGCCGUAUGUUGAUGGGGCAUUCAGUGGGUUGGUCAGUAUUCGAGGAACACAUAGUGAGAUAUGCUUACAGUUACACUGUUGGGAUCAGGCACAUUUCACAGACAGGGUCUUCGCUGCUAAUAACAGAAGGGGGGGAGGGGGGAAUCAAGCAAAAUAAAACAACAAGUGAGACUUAAACUGACAGUACAUGCCAAGUGUGCAAUAUGUUCUUUUAAGUUUGACAUGUUAUCCAAGCUCAAAU